CUUUAUUUUUUUUAUUUUUUUCUUAAUUUGUAUUUUUUUUGUUUUUUUAACCUUUUUGACUGAAAUGCUGAAACUUGUAGGGAAAUUGCUGAAACUGCCAAAAUUGAAAGUUUACCCAGCAGAUCAAGACCAAAAACUGAAACUGAGUUUUAAAACCUUGGUUUGGAUCUUAAAUUAGGGAACAUUUUUGUUUAUUUUUAAAUUCAAAGGCAAACGUGCAAAUCAUGUUUCAGUAAGCAUUAAACGUGCAAUAACAGUCUCUGUUAUCAUAAACUCUACCCUGCAUCCCCUCAUCAUACGAGACUAUCUUUACUAUUAAUUUCCUCCAUCAUACUCUAGAUAAUAAUACAUAACUUCUUCCAUACAAAUAUGAGCAUGCUCUCCCCUUCCACCUCUUAAGAUGAUUUGUUUUCUCUGUUCUUUCUCUCUGGGUCUCCUUUCAAAGAUUAAGAAAAGCUUUGUAAGAACAUUUGGAUGCGGAGCAUACUGUAAACAAGUAGUUUGUACUCCCCUCACCGAACUAUUUUAACUUAAUACUUCCUCAUUGGGUUAGUGGAAUGAGGAAACUUGAGUCCUUUGAUGGUGUGAAACAAGCAGGUAAGUCCUCCAA
rnacentral:lncRNA from 1 species